UACGAAGGGUGCAAGCGUUACUCGGAAUUACUGGGCGUAAAGCGUGCGUAGGUGGUUUUUUAAGUCCGUUGUGAAAGCCCUGGGCUCAACCUGGGAAUGGCAGUGGAUACUGGAAAGCUAGAGUGCGGUAGAGGGUAGUGGAAUUCCCGGUGUAGCAGUGAAAUGCGUAGAGAUCGGGAGGAACAUCUGUGGCGAAGGCGACUGCCUGGACCAGCACUGACACUGAGGCACGAAAGCGUGGGGAGCAAACAGG
rnacentral:rRNA from 1 species